GGUCUUGUACUCACCGCCCGUCACACCAUGGGAGUUGUGUUUGCCUUAAGUCAGGAUGCUAAAUUGGCUACUGCCCACGGCACACACAGCGACUGGGGUGAAGUCGUAACAAGGUAACCGUAGGUGAACCUGCGGUUGGAUCACCUCCUUUCUAGA
rnacentral:rRNA from 1 species